UACGGAGGGUGCAAGCGUUAUCCGGAUUCACUGGGUUUAAAGGGUGCGUAGGUGGGUUGGUAAGUCAGUGGUGAAAUCUCCGAGCUUAACUUGGAAACUGCCAUUGAUACUAUUAGUCUUGAAUAUUGUGGAGGUCAGCGGAAUAUGUCAUGUAGCGGUGAAAUGCUUAGAGAUGACAUAGAACACCAAUUGCGAAGCAGCUGGCUACACAUAUAUUGACACUGAGGCACGAAAGCGUGGGGAUCAAACAGG
rnacentral:rRNA from 1 species